AACUUUUUUUGUUAUUGAAGAUUAAAGAGAAGAUGGUCACAGAUAGAGCCACAAUUAAAUAGAUUAAAUAGAAGAUGAACGCGAAGUACCCAAAAAGCCUGGUUCACAGUAUGCCCCCUCUGUCAAAAAGUACCAAACAAUGAUCUACACCUUCUAUUGGAGAGUGUGCAGAUAGUAAAGUGCAGAAGCACAACCAUGAUGAAUUCAGAGAGCUGAGAUUUGAAAAGCUUAAAUCCAAGUAAAACCCGGUCUAAGCAACUAUUUAAGCCCAAGUAAUGCUCAACCUAAGAGUCGAGUUUAUGGUAGACUUGGGAUUAGUAAAAACCAAUCGACUUGGUUUUUCGACUCUCAUGAAGACUCAUGUCUCCAAACGCUAAAGAUCGUAAACUUUUUAAAUAUUUUUAUAUUUUUACAUUUAAAUCCUCAUGAAAUAUCUGUAAUGUUAAAAUUGUCUAGAUUUAAUAAAUGAACACACAAUGGAAAUAAUAUA